GCCUAGGUAAGCUUGGAGGGUAGAGCACCUGCCUUUUAAGCUGUAGGUCAGGGGUUCGAUUUCCGCCCGGGGCG
rfam:Asian citrus Psyllid, Diaphorina citri - Florida Strain, whole genome shotgun sequence.